rnacentral:rRNA from 1 species
GAUGAACGCUGGCGGCGUGCCUAAUACAUGCAAGUCGAGCGAAUGGAUUGAGAGCUUGCUCUUAUGAAGUUAGCGGCGGACGGGUGAGUAACACGUGAGUAACCUGCCCAUAAGACUGGGAUAACUCCGGGAAACCGGGGCUAAUACCGGAUAACAUUUUGAACCGCAUGGUUCGAAACUGAAAGGCGGCUUCGGCUGUCACUUAUGGAUGGACCCGCGUCGCAUUAGCUAGUUGGUGAGGUAACGGCUCACCAAGGCAACGAUGCGUAGCCGACCUGAGAGGGCGAUCGGCCACACUGGGACUGAGACACGGCCCAGACUCCUACGGGAGGCAGCAGUAGGGAAUCUUCCGCAAUGGACGAAAGUCUGACGGAGCAACGCCGCGUGAGUGAUGAAGGCUUUCGGGUCGUAAAACUCUGUUGUUAGGGAAGAACAAGUGCUAGUUGAAUAAGCUGGCACCUUGACGGUACCUAACCAGAAAGCCACGGCUAACUACGUGCCAGCAGCCGCCGUAA